ACAAGCUGAGAAACGGCUAGUAGGACUAAGGUCUGCAGCAGGCGCGAAACUUACACAAUGCUAGAUUAUAUAUUAGCGAUGUAGUGAAGAAAAAUAACGAUGUACUUGUAUUUAAACAUACUAGUACAAUUGGAAUGAGACGACUCUAAACCAGUUAGUCGAGUAACAAAUGGAGGGCAAGUCUGGUGCCAGCAGCCGCGGUAAUUCCAGCUCCAUUAGCAUACAUUAAAGUUGUUGCGGUUAAAGAGCUCGUAGUUGAAUUUAGCGCGAGGGUUGGAGUUUUGGGUUCGUUAAGGUUGUGUUCGUAAGUUUCGGCUUCUUACCAGCUGAGCCCUAUAGCUACCGGCACUUCGCUGUUUCGUCACUUAAUCGAGUGCGAAGCUGGGCUAAGCAGACGAUUUGCUUCGGCAUAUCUCUACUCAGCCAUGUUUACCUUGAGAAAAUUAGAGUGCUCACAGCAGGCAGUUGGGGUGUAAAAGCUCCUUUAUGCUUGAAUAAUGUUGCAUGGAAUAAUAGAAUACGGCCUCGGUUCUAUUCUGUUGGUCUUAUAGAACAACAAACAAGUUGGUUAAGGCAUCAAACGGUUAUUGGAAGCAUACGGCAGGCUACUGGUUCUGUAAAAUUGUGUUGUCUUGGACCAAAAAUUCAAGUACCUCAUUUUGUUCUACCAUCAAAGUGACCUCGCUAGCCCCUCUCAACCAGCCAACAACCAACUGAGGCAAUGGUUAAAAGAAAUAGUCGCGGCGGCAUCAGUACUGCAUCGUGAGAG
rnacentral:rRNA from 1 species